CCUACGGGUGGCAGCAGUGGGGGAUAUUGCACAAUGGGGGGAACCCUGAUGCAGCAACGCCGCGUGGGUGAAGAAGCAUCUCGGUGCGUAAAGCUCUGUCAGCAGGGAAGAAAAUGACGGUACCUGAGUAAGAAGCCCCGGCUAACUACGUGCCAGCAGCCGCGGUAAUACGUAGGGGGCAAGCGUUAUCCGGAUUUACUGGGUGUAAAGGGGGCGUAGACGGUGAUGCAAGUCAGGAGUGAAAGCCCGGGGCUCAACCCCGGGACUGCUUUUGGAACUGCGUGGCUGGAGUGCAGGAGAGGCAGGCGGAAUUCCUGGUGUAGCGGUGAAAUGCGUAGAUAUUAGGAGGAACACCGGUGGCGAAGGCGGCCUGCUGGACUGCAACUGACGUUGAGGCCCGAAGGCGUGGGGAGCAAACAGGAUUAGAUACCCCUGUAGUC
rnacentral:rRNA from 1 species